UCAGCAUAAUUUUAUUGUCAUGAGUUAGAAUACCGAAUCCGGCUGAAUGUGUCAUAAUCAAGCUUCGUGUUUAAAUGUCAAUAUUAAGUCAAUGUUAAGUAUACUGAAAAGCUACAAAAACAUGCAUUUAAAAGAUUGGACAGUUUGCAAAGGUCACUUAAACGUGUCACGCUAAGGUCGAGUUACGUUUCAAGUUUUAUAAUUGAAAAACCGUCAUAUAAAAGCAGCUCAAUAAACCUCUGACUAAUCAGUGAACUAAAUUCAACAUUGGCAAAACGAGUUCCGUUCCAUAUAAUCGGUGAAAUCAGGAUUUAGACUAUAAAUUCGUAGUCGCGGUCAAUUAGCACUUAGCGUGGUAGUAACAAAAACAAGGGUAUAAGUUUGAACGCACGAAGCUCAUGUGCUUCCACCAAAGCGGAGAUGGAACGUAUGAAAAUCAUCAUAACGAGUGUAGCGGAGUCCGUAAUGGGUCCGUUCCGAUCGCAGUGGAAGGCGGACAACAGGCUUGGCAUAAUGAAUAUAAGUACAUCUUUUUCGAGUAUUCCUUAUAAGUAUGUAUGUACUUUGUAAGAGAUAUUUUCCUUUUAUAUUUACCUGCG